rnacentral:lncRNA from 1 species
CGGAUCCCAAAUUACCUAAACACAAACCAAAAGUUGAAAAAGAUAAAAACUGUACUAAAACUGAAGUCAGAAAAGGAACAAGAAAGUACAAGAGUGGAAUGUUAAGAGAAUAAAAAGAGAUCUGAAAUCUUACACCCACGAACGGAAAAUCAAAGUGUCGGUCAAGAAGAGAAGUGAGAAUAUGAUCCAAUCUUGGUUGUAAGAAGAGUAAAGGAAUAAGGAGAUUGAUCCAAGAAAGUU